rnacentral:tRNA from 1 species
CUAGUAUUCUUCAUUAAACUACUU